GGUUUGUUUAAUAGGAAGUGUACAUUCUUAUCUCGGAUAACCCUUAUUCUUUGUUUCGCUUUGUGUAGCUUCUGAAUUAUUUUCCUUUACUUUUUCAGAACCUGCAAAUCUUCCUCUGAGAUUUUGGAAGCAACCUUAUCUAAACGUUCUAGAUCUUUCUCUUAUUUUCUAUGAAAAUGACUUCUUUGGUACCGCUCUCGGAAAUCUUCGGUAAACUGAAUUUCAAGCGCUAGGGUGCUCUCUACGGUAAAAGACAGGAAUCUUCUAUGGUGCAAGGCUGCCCUCUAUGUUAUGCUUAUCUUUGAUGAUUGAAGAGGUUCAGAGUAUUUUGCAGAGAUGAGACUUCCCAUUGCUGUUUAGGAACCUACAAAUUUUGGGUGCAAUCCUCCUCUCCUCAGUUUACUAUCAUCUCAAUGGCCCACUGAAUGGGGAGCUGCGAGAAGUUGAAACGACCGACCGAAGCCUCGUUCACCCAGAAGUAGAAGUACUUCUCUCUCCACUUGUCAUCUCGGUUUGGGAUUCCUUGGAGAAUCUAGCGGUCCGAACAACGGGACAGGUAGUAGGUUCCCUGGUAGCUUGAGUUGUGUUUAAUAACACACAACUUGAGAAGCUUGUCGACCCCGAACGGUAGUCCCUCCUCUCGGGCACGGAUGUAUAACCCGACGAUGUGGCGAACGAAGUUCGGACACAUCUAAGGGAACGCAAUUCGAAGCCGCCACAGAACUCCGGGAUCGGGAACACCAGCCCACAUCUCUUGAAGUAAGUGGUGUAAGCGCAUCAGUAGCCGGUGGGGACUGUCUCCUGCGUAUACGGUGGUCCGGGAGAGAGGAUCAUCUCAACGGACGGUGGUACGCCGUGCUUUUGGCGUAAUUCUGCUAGAUAUUUAUCGGUUGUAAUCGGGGCAACGUGCCCACCCCAAACCUCUUUUGUGGACAUUGUGAUGUUCAAAUUUACAGGAGAGAUUGGGAGCAAAAGCGAGUAGUAAAAGAAUAAAAGCAUAAAUACAGACGGUUCAUGAGAAGAAAGGUGAGGUUUUUUACCUUGUUAGUGGACGAUGAUGUGAUUGGAGGAGUCAUGUAGCCUUCAGAAGCCUUCGAUUCUUGUAGCCCAAAUUAUUAUUUUGAGUCUACAUUUUUUUGUCGGAACUGAUUUGUUUACCUAGUGUUUUCGUUUUGUCUUAUAAUUAUUAAUUCAUA